rnacentral:rRNA from 1 species
GACGAACGCUGGCGGCGUGCUUAACACAUGCAAGUCGUACGGUAAGGCCCUUUCGGGGGUACACGGGUGGCGAACGGGUGAGUAACACGUGAGUAACCUGCCCACAACUUUGGGAUAACGCUAGGAAACUGGUGCUAAUACUGGAUAUGUGCUCCUGCUGCAUGGUGGGGGUUGGAAAGCUCCGGCGGCUGUGGAUGGACUCGCGGCCUAUCAGCUUGUUGGUGGGGUAGUGGCCUACCAAGGCGGCGACGGGUAGCCGGCCUGAGAGGGUGACCGGCCACAUUGGGACUGAGAUACGGCCCAGACUCCUACGGGAGGCAGCAGUGGGGAAUAUUGCACAAUGGGCGCAAGCCUGAUGCAGCAACGCCGCGUGCGGGAUGACGGCCUUCGGGUUGUAAACCGCUUUCAGCAGGGACGAAGCUUUUUGUGACGGUACCUGCAGAAGAAGCACCGGCUAACUACGUG